AACGAUAUACGCUGGAGACGUUUUAUGAGCAAAUGAAUAUAUUUAACAACGCGGACAAAAUAUUAUUAUAUGAUCGUGCAUUCCUGAAAUGUAACCAUUAAAUAGGUUGAAAAAUAAAUAAAAAUAUAAAAAUGUGUUUGCAAUUAUUACGGGAGAUAUUAUACACACGGCGUAAAAUAAUUGCGACUCGACAUUAUAACCAUCGUUCUGAAACAUUAUAUUAUUAUUAUUUUUGUUACGAGCAUAUAGUAGUAAAUAACGUCGAUUUCACGGUCAUGAUAAAAUAUGUCC